rnacentral:lncRNA from 1 species
CAAUUUUUAUACUCUCUCUAAGGAAGACAGGCUCUCUGAGCUGUGAAUUUCUCAACUACCUGAACUUCACCCCAACCUACCUGAAGAAUACGCAAUUUCCAUUAGUCACAGUGGCUCAUUACAUCAAUGAGCUGAGAAACCCUCUCUCUCCCACCUCUGCUGGCAUGAAACAAUAUCAGGCCUGAAGAAUCAAGCCUAGUUUGACUCUGGCUCAAAUUAUUAUUCUUUAAUGCACUCAAUGCUUCAACUCACAUCAGAUAUUCCAGGCACUUCUAAGCUUCCAAGUACUUAUUUAUGUACUCAUAAACCAGAAUACCUCCCCCUUCUCCCGUCCUUCCAAGCCUUUUCUAUUCCUAUUUACACUUUGAAGUCCUAUUCAAACAAGAACUCUGCCAUGAAGUCUUCUUGGAUUUUUUUCAAUAGCUUAUCUAUAACUCUAUUCUAGUGUAUUUAUCACUCCAUCUUAUUUUAUAAUCAGAGACAGUUGUUCAAGUAACUCUUGUAACUCUCUUUCCACUGAGUCUGAUCAU